GACGAACGCUGGCGGCGUGCCUAAUACAUGCAAGUCGAACGAGAGCGACCGGUGCUUGCACUGGUCAAUCUAGUGGCGAACGGGUGAGUAACACGUGGGUAACCUGCCCAUCAGAGGGGGAUAACAUCCGGAAACGGAUGCUGAAACCGCAUAGGUCUUCGAGCCGCAUGGCUUGAAGAGGAAAAGAGGCGCAAGCUUCUGCUGAUGGAUGGACCCGCGGUGCAUUAGCUAGUUGGUGAGGUAACGGCUCACCAAGGCCGUGAUGCAUAGCCGACCUGAGAGGGUGAUCGGCCACAUUGGGACUGAGACACGGCCCAAACUCCUACGGGAGGCAGCAGUAGGGAAUCUUCCGCAAUGGACGCAAGUCUGACGGAGCAACGCCGCGUGAGUGAAGAAGGUUUUCGGAUCGUAAAACUCUGUUGUUAGAGAAGAACAAGUGCUAGAGUAACUGUUAGCGCCUUGACGGUAUCUAACCAGAAAGCCACGGCUAACUACGUG
rnacentral:rRNA from 1 species